UACGCGUCUAGUCGCUCCGGCAACAGCUCCUCCCACUCACCAUCCACAGGAAGUAGACCCCAGCUAUCCCACCGCCCAGGAUCAGCAAGCCAGGAGCCCACGAGUUUCGGUGCCCAUUUGGACUUUCACAAUCAGAGAUGGCAGCAGAGGCAGAAUCAUCAGAAACUACCAAGCCUUGGUCUUGUCAUCCAGUAUAUGCAAGAUACUGGCAACAUUAUUAUCAAGCAAUGGCUUGGAUGCGAAGCCACCAGAAUGCCUAUCGGAAGGCCGUGGAGUCUUAUUUCAGUUCCCCGUGGUACUUCACUUCUGGAGGUCUUCCCCAGAGCUGUUAUGACCAGAAGGGUGGAUCUCCUCAGUCCUUCUGUGACCCUCACUUGGCCUCCCAGGACUCCCACUGUGAGUAUUCACAUUCUCCAAGGCCUGGGAAGCAUCCUCAUGACAGCACAAGAAAAUACCAAACUUGGGCCACAGAGGAGGAGGUGGAGACCGACUCAGAUGAGGGGAUAGAGUACGACCUGAGCAACAUGGAGAUCACUGAGGAGCUCCGCCAGUACUUUGCAGAGACCGAAAGGCACAGGGAAGAGCGGCGGCGGCAGGAGCAGCUGGAUGCGCAGCGCAUGGAGGACUAUGUGAACGCCGACCACGACCUGUAUUAUAAGACGCGCCGCUCAGUGGAGCCCCCAUCGGAGAGGCCCGGGGAGCGGCGCCAAGUGGAGAUGAAGCGCUUGUACGGGGACAGUGCCGCCAAGAUCCAAGCCAUGGAGGCCGCCGUGCAGCUGAGCUUUAACAAGCACUUUGACCGAAAGCGACCCAAAUACUGAGUUUGAAUGUCAUACAGAACUGAGAACAAAGAACAGUCAUUCCCAAACCUGCUCCCCUCUGCAGUCUCCUGUGUUGUCAACAAGAGCUGAGGCUAUAGCAGCGAGAAGAAGGAGGGAUACACUUGAAAUACUGAGGAAAUAGACGUUCCAUGCAUGGGUUCGUGACUUGUGGCAGGUGAGGAAAAGUCUAGGAUGGCUCAGAUUUCUAUCUUGGAUGGUGGUUCUAGUUAUUGAGGUAAAGGAAACAAUGAGAAACCUGUUUGGGAAGAAGGAUAAUUCUAUUUGGGACACAGUUUGAAGGGCUCACAAGGCAUCAAGUGACAUCUCGUCAGUCACUGGAUAUUUGAGUUUGAAACUCAGUGGAGAGGGUCGGCAUUAAAAAGACUUGAGUCCUCAGCCUUAGGAAUAUGGAAAAGACUAGGCAGAAUGGACCAGUGACAGUGAGCCCUGAGGAACAUGACUUCAAAACAUAAGUAAGAGGAGUCUGUGCAGGGAACUGAGAAGAAACGACAAAGAUAAAGAGGAGGAAAAGCAGGAGCUAAAGGUGUCUCAAAAAGAAAACUGUGACAAUAUGCAUUCUGCUGGGAUACAUUAG